GAUGAACGCUGGCGGCGUGCCUAAUACAUGCAAGUCGAGCGAACGGACGAGAAGCUUGCUUCUCUGAUGUUAGCGGCGGACGGGUGAGUAACACGUGGAUAACCUACCUAUAAGACUGGGAUAACUUCGGGAAACCGUAGCUAAUACCGGAUAAUAUUUUGAACAGCAUGGUUCAAAAGUGAAAGACGGUCUUGCUGUCACUUAUAGAUGGAUCCGCGCUGCAUUAGCUAGUUGGUAAGGUAACGGCUUACCAAGGCAACGAUGCAUAGCCGACCUGAGAGGGUGAUCGGCCACACUGGAAGUGAGACACGGUCCAGACUCCUACGGGAGGCAGCAGUAGGGAAUCUUCCGCAAUGGGCGAAAGCCUGACGGAGCAACGCCGCGUGAGUGAUGAAGGUCUUCGGAUCGUAAAACUCUGUUAUUAGGGAAGAACAUAUGUGUAAGUAACUGUGCACAUCUUGACGGUACCUAAUCAGAAAGCCACGGCUAACUACGUG
rnacentral:rRNA from 1 species